rnacentral:lncRNA from 1 species
AUUUCCUGGAAGAGGCAGAGGGGUAGGAGUGUCUCCUGUGACCCCAUUAUUCUAAUUCUGAAAGGAAUGAUCACACAUUGUGGAAACGAGGGGUAGGAGUGUCUCCUAUGACCUCGGUAUUCGCUACACUUUGUCAAAUAGAGCUACAAAAGUAGAUAAGUCAAUAAGAUGAAUAAAAUGGACUGCAUCAACAUCAACAUUCAUUGAAAUUGAAACUAUAAAGUUUCAGAGAAGAGAGAAAAAGAGGGAAGAAAGGAAUCAGAGAAGACUACUUGUGUGUUCAGAAACUUGCUUGAGUAAGAUUCCAUGUCCCUUGAUCGAUACUCCCAAGACGUAGCCUACACAUCUAUAUUUAUGCAGAAAUGAGGUCAGCAGAGGGG